AUUGAACGCUGGCGGCAGGCCUAACACAUGCAAGUCGAGCGGAUGAAGGGAGCUUGCUCCUGGAUUCAGCGGCGGACGGGUGAGUAAUGCCUAGGAAUCUGCCUGGUAGUGGGGGAUAACGUCCGGAAACGGGCGCUAAUACCGCAUACGUCUUGAGGGAGAAAGUGGGGGAUCUUCGGACCUCACGCUAUCAGAUGAGCCUAGGUCGGAUUAGCUAGUUGGUGGGGUAAAGGCCUACCAAGGCGACGAUCCGUAACUGGCCUGAGAGGAUGAUCAGUCACACUGGAACUGAGACGCGGUCCAGACUCCUACGGGAGGCAGCAGUGGGGAAUAUUGGACAAUGGGCGAAAGCCUGAUCCAGCCAUGCCGCGUGUGUGAAGAAGGUCUUCGGAUUGUAAAGCACUUUAAGUUGGGAGGAAGGGCAGUAAGUUGAUACCUUGCUGUUUUGACGUUACCAACAGAAUAAGCACCGGCUAACUUCGUG
rnacentral:rRNA from 1 species